rnacentral:rRNA from 1 species
GACGAACGCUGGCGGCGUGCUUAACACAUGCAAGUCGAACGGAAAGGCCCAGCUUGCUGGGUACUCGAGUGGCGAACGGGUGAGUAACACGUGGGUGAUCUGCCCUGCACUCUGGGAUAAGCCUGGGAAACUGGGUCUAAUACCGGAUAUGGCCAACUGUCGCAUGGUGGUUGGUGGAAAGCUUUUGCGGUGUGGGAUGGGCCCGCGGCCUAUCAGCUUGUUGGUGGGGUAAUGGCCUACCAAGGCGACGACGGGUAGCCGACCUGAGAGGGUGAUCGGCCACACUGGGACUGAGACACGGCCCAGACUCCUACGGGAGGCAGCAGUGGGGAAUAUUGCACAAUGGGCGCAAGCCUGAUGCAGCGACGCCGCGUGAGGGAUGACGGCCUUCGGGUUGUAAACCUCUUUCACCAGGGACGAAGCGUGAGUGACGGUACCUGGAGAAGAAGCACCGGCCAACUACGUGCCAGCAGCCGCCGUAACAC